AGAGUUUGAUCCUGGCUCAGAACGAACGCUGGCGGCGCGUCUUAAGCAUGCAAGUCGAGCGGUAAGUCGGGAGCUUGCUCCUGACCUAGAGCGGCGGACUGGUGAGUAACGCGUGGGUGACGUACCUUUGUGACGGGGACAGCUCCUAGAAAUAGGAGAUAAUACCGGAUACGCUGCAUGUUGUCAGAGGACAUGCAGGAAAGGAUCUUUUGAUCCGCACAGAGAGCGGCCCGCGUACUAUUAGCUUGUUGGUGAGGUAACGGCCCACCAAGGCGACGAUAGUUACCCGGCCUAAGAGGGUGAUCGGGCACAUUGGGACUGAGAUACGGCCCAGACUCCUACGGGAGGCAGCAGCUAAGAAUAUUCCGCAAUGGACGAAAGUCUGACGGAGCGACGCCGCGUGGAUGAUGAAGGCCGGAAGGUUGUAAAAUCCUUUUAUGACUGAGGAAUAAGUGAAGUGAGGGAAACGCUUCAUGGUGACUGUAGGUCAUGAAUAAGCAACGGCUAAUUACGUGCCAGCAGCCGCGGUAACACGUAAGUUGCGAGCGUUGUUCGGAAUUAUUGGGCGUAAAGGGUAUGUAGGCAGUUCUGCAAGUCUGGUGUGAAAUGCCGGGGCUCAACCCCGGAACUGCGUUGGAAACUGCAGGACUUGAAUCGCUGAGGGGCAGCCAGAAUUCCAGGUGUA
rnacentral:rRNA from 1 species